UAUAGUGUUAGUGUAUAUACAUGUGUGUGGGAGGUUAAUAAAGAUGCAUGAGUGCAUGUUAAGUAUGAAGUAUGAAGUUAAGUAUGGAAUUAGAAAAGGUUCAGAAAAGGGCAACAAAAAUGAUAGGAGUAUAGAAUGGUUUCCGUAUGAGGAGAGAUUAAUAAGACUGGGACUUUUCAGCUUGGAAAAGAGGUGACUAAGGGGGGAUAUGAUAGAGGUUUAUAAAAUCAUGAGUGAUAUAGAGAAAGUAAAUAAGGAAGUGUUAUUUACUCCAUCUCAUAAUACAAGAACAAGAGACCAUCAAAUGAAAUUAAUAGGUAGCAGAUUUAAAACAAGCACAAGAAAGUAAUUUUUCAUGCAAUGCACUGUCAACCUCUGGAACUCCUUGCCAGAGGGUGUUGUGAAGGCCAGUACUAUAAAUGGGGUUCAAAAAGGAGCUAGAUAGAUUAAUGGAAGAUAGGUCCAUCUAUGGCUAUUAGUCAGGAUGGGCAGGAGUGGUGUCCCUAGCCUCUGUUUGCCAGAAGCUGGGUUUGGGUGACAGGGCAUGGAUAACCUGAUGUUGAUCUGUCUGUUCAUUCCUUUUGGGGCACCUGCCACUGGCCACAGGACAGGCUACUGGGCUUGAUGGACCUUUGGUCUGACCCAGUAUGGCCGUUCUUAUGAAAGGAAUUUAUAUAUGUAAGAGCUAAACAAUGAUUUAAAACUAUCAGUUACCUGUGAACAACAGAUCACUGUAAGCAGGGCACAUCAUUUAGAAUAAUCUCAACUGUAUGUUAUUGCAGUUUGGGUGCUUUUUAACUUGCAAGGGAUUUGUGUCUUAGAUUAUUAUUGUAUUAGGGAUUGUGAUUUGCAACAAUUAAAAAGGUGCCUUGUUCUGGAAAGGGCACUGCUUGUGUCAAUCUGUUAUUUAUUGGAAGGCUGUAUCCGUAGCCUCCAAGUAUUUCCCUUGUCACUCUGGAGACCCAUACCUAAUGAGAUCAGAUUGGUUACGUUAUGGGUAUACCCUGAAAUAGACUUAGGGUAACAGCAUCAGCCCUAUCUCUUGCCCAGACUCUAAAGGCUAACUCUUCUGGGUUAAUUUACAACUAUAACCUAAUGCAUAUACAUGAAGGGGCAGAGUUAAGGUUGUGCAGAUAGCCUUAACUUUGGCAUUUCUUUACUUUUAAUGUUUAAUUUUGCAACCUUAGCAAUCUCCUGAAGUUUUUUUUUUAAACAAAUUUCAUAUAUAUUAAAAUAGUUUUUUAAAAAUCUCUUCUGUGGAAUUAAAUGCUAGACUACAUUAGAAUUCUCUGUCUGGCAUACAAUGGACUAUCAAUUGGGCAUGGUAUUACAUUAGAAAAUGACUGAAAAUUGAUGACAUCAGAUAAUUUUUUUUACAUAAAAAACACAUAAUAUUUAGGCUUUCAUACGGUCUGUCAGUUCAAAGAAAACCUCCUUUUCUUAAAUGCAUGCUUCCUGUUUACAAUUUCAGAUGACUAUUUCAUGAUUUCAAAAUGCUUACCUGUUCUCUGUCCUCCAAACGUCAAUCAGUUUUAAAACAAAUAGAGUUAGAGGGGAUUAAGCUGUCAAAAAUGUAAAUCUAUAUGUUGUAGUUAAAGUCUGCUCUGGUUACUGAUCAGACUAUAGUUUAGUGUACGAUGAAAAUAAAGAUAAAUUUGAAACACAUAUCAAGAAGUACUGUGCUGUAUAAAGAGCCAAGUUUGGAAUGGCCUAACCAGGCAAGGUCAUUGAGGCUGAACUCAGAGGCUGUUUAAGAAAAAGUACCUAUUCUAAGGGGAAUUGGUGUAUUAUGGUAGUGCUAUUAUCAUUGCUCACUUUUUCCAUUAUUAGCCCACAGCUUUAAAUGGUUUAUAACUCAGUGAUUGUAUUAAAAUAUCAUACCCUGACUAAAACUCUGCAUGUAAGAUCCAAUUAGGAAUUAAAAAAAAAUAAAAUUUGUUUGGCUUUUAUCUGAAUUUUAGCAAACACAACAAAAGGAUUAUUUGGUUACUAAUGGGCUAACCCAGUUUACCUCUGAAGCCAGCUGUGGUGCCAUGAUGAAUGCUACACAUCACACCAGCUCACCCUCCUAGGGAGUGUGGGCAUCUGAGAGUAAGGCGCUGAUCAUUACUGGCUAAUACCAUGAAGUGAUAAUAUUCUUCAGCUGCUACUGGCACAAAUUCCUGUGGCCAUAGUUAAAUUAGUGGCAUACAUAAUUUCCUCAUUAACAUGCCCUUCCGUACCUGUAACCCUCUCCAUCAGGAGGGGCUUAUUUAUAUAUCACCACUAAGCAUAAUAAUGCGUCUGAACAGGCCCUUCUUCGUAGAGGGAAAAAUGGAAGGGGAUGGAAGGGAGGGAGGUUGGAGCUAUGAUGUUAAGUGGAGUGUUGCUUUAGGAAAAACUGCAGGAUUGAGUUUAGAAGUUUCCUAAAACCCAAAACGCCAUUGGCUUCUCAUAUCCCUAUUAGCAAUGUUGUCCAGACUUCUUUACAUUCUAAUUCAUUCUUUCCCAUGUUGUAUGUGAGUGCCUUAGUGUGGAAUCUGCUCCCUUUUUAAUGCUCUCACAUUGUCUUGCCAAUUGCCUGAGUAUAAUAAUUUUGCCACUAUAAGAUUAAGGGAAAUCCAUCUUGAUGUCUCAUAUGGAAUCUGUUUUGAUUAUUUCAAGAUGAGCUGUUUGUAAAUAUGGGAUUUCAUGAUAGACUCUUUAUUGUAUGCUGUUUUGGAAUGUGUUACCAUGACAGAGUACUGGAAAGAGGCUGAUAUGACGGGAGUUGUGUUAGGAUUCAACACUGAGCUGUUUUCAUGUUGGCAUUUUGCUCAGUACUCUGAAGGGGUUUUAGAGUCCAAACAAUGCUCGCUUAAUGCUGGCAUUAAGCUUUAACACAGUGGAGGGGGCUUUGAAUAUGUGGCUCUGCAGGUUUACAUGUUAGUUGACUGUUGGUGUUUUGCCUGCAUUUAAAAGCAUGUCAUUUAAAUAAAAAUAUAGAAUGCGUUUCUUUGUUAGGUUGUUUUUGGGAUUCUAAAAAGAGCUAAUAAGGACUGUUCAACUUAUUGUUUCAUGAUAAUAUGUAAAUUAUGCAUAGUACAUAAUAUUUAACUCACAUGAUGCUUCUUGAAAAGUUAUUUAGUAGAUUAAAUACAUGGUUUUUACACAAAACUAAAUAUAUAGCUAAGAAACAUGGACUUUUUUGUCUCUUGGAUAAUAUUUUUUGUUUAACAUAGGGUAUGUGCUUUUAUAAAACCUUUAAAUCUAAAUGUGAGAUAUGGAGGAAUAUAGUCUAAGAUUGAGGGACCACUAAAUUAAUAGUAUUACCUAGCUCUUACAUAGCACUUUUCAUUAGUAGAACUAAAAGCACUUUACAAAAAAGGAGACAAGAAUCAUUGUCCUCAUUUCACAGAUGGGAAAACUGAGGGACCAAGGUCACCAGCCAAGCCAGGACUGGAGUGCAUAUCUUCUGAGGCCUUGUUCAGUGCUCUAGUCAGCAGGACACAUUAGUGAACUCUGAUCCUGAGGCGCUUUGAGUUCCAUUUAAUUUGUGACUGUUCAGAACAUGGUUUAUUUAGUUCAAAUAAAAAUAGAAUCAACUCCAGAAAUAGAAUUUCUCUCAAGUUUUCCAGCCCUAACAUAAUACAGUUUUGUGUGUGAUUUUAUAUGAUAGGAGUACAAACUGUCCAAGUCCUUGACUCAUUCGCCAUUAAUUUCAUUCUUUUUAACAACCUCAUAUUUUGGAUAACAUUGUUAAGCAAGAGUUAUUAAUCUGUCUAUAGUCAUCUCUUUUAUUAAGUGUAACUUUUCCUAUUGCUUCCAUUGCAUAAGAGUCCAGUACUAUGGACUGUUAGGUUUCUGUAAACCGGGCUAUUAACUGAUCUGUUGCAUAUUGAAAACAUCUGCCCAAAAUUAAGGAAAUACCAGACAAUGAAGAGAUGAUAUGAUUUUAUCAUUAUAUUUUAUAAUUGUCUGUCCUUUAAGCUUAGCAUUGACUUAUUUUGUUUUUUAGUUCUUUAAAAUAAGUUUAACACACUACGAUGGAAAGAAAGUAAAUGGAGCAUGCUUCCUUGUUUUGUCACAUCCAACAUAUUCCUUUCUAUGGAUCAAAUUAAAGUAUUUACCCUACUCUGGUAUUGAGAAGAAUUUUUGCAGUUGUCUUUUUGAACAUGUACAUGUUUCUGAAAUAUACAUCCAGGAAGCUGCUACAUCUACUCUCAUAAUGUCCAAUUCCCCACUCAGUAUAAGUCAGGAGUUACUACACUGACGUAAAUCAAGUUAAACUAAUGUAAAAUUGAAGUAAAUAAGAGCAGAAUUAGGCAGGCCUAUAUCCUUAUUGUGUUGAUCUUCUCUGCUAGUCUUCACCAGCUGAGUUUAACUCUCUCCAUUGACUCUCCUGCCAGAUGAAUUAGCAGCUUUCAUUACACUGCAUUUCAUCAUUAUGGUCUCUAGAUUACUUUCAAUUGGAUAAUUAAUAAGCAAUAGAUCUACUGAUGAAAAAUGCUAUAUAAGGGCUAUGACAAGGUGGCUAUGAUACUCUGAGUACGUUUCCCAGACCUGAAGAAGAGCAAUGUGUAAGCUUGAAAGUUUGUCUCUCUCCUGAACAGAAGUUGGUCCAGAAAAGAUAUUCCCUCCUCCACCGUAUCUCUCUAUAUAAGAGCUAGGCAUUAUUAUUACCAGAAUAUGUUAACAAAGGGCUUCAUAUAUCACUACAGAAUAUUAUCACUACUCAGGAGCUGCUCCGAUAAGGUUGGGGGAUCAAAAGGAUUCAAAGGCAAAUUUGAAUAAUCUAAUAUUUUUGCGAAUAUAUUGAACAACAUUAGGUUUCGGGGGGGGUUAUAAAAUAAAUGUUACAUACAAAAAGUUACAUUGAAAUAAUAGUACUUUGCUUGUAAAAUCAAGCACUCAAAAGUUUGAAAAUGACAGAUUUAGGAUUGCCCGUGCAACCUGAAUUUGAUCCCCUUGUGCGUCUACAUUAUUAUGCAGUCUUUAAUUACAUGAUCACAUAUUUCCUCUGUAGGAUACCUGUCUCAUUCAGUGCAUAGGAAGGAUGGUGCUCAAUGAAUGAGGCUGCUGUUCAAUAUUAUUUGCCUCCACACCUUAUUUCUUGCACACUUUUUUAUCCCUGCCCUAAAUACAGGAUUAUUCAUUGCCUUGUGGCCUUUUAUACGGUACUCAGGCCAGUUGUAACUGAGUAUCUCAUUCAUAUUAAUGAAUUUAUCUUCACAACUCCCCUACAAGAUAGUGUUAUCAGCCCCAUUUCACAGAUGUGGAAACUGAGGCAGAGGCAAAGGCUAGGAUCCACAAGGCCCAAUUUUAGGUGCAACUGCACACUACAAAACUACCUCUUGACUGCCAUCAAACCCUGUAGUCAGUGCCAGUCCUAGCCCAUUGGGGACCCUAAGCAGGAAUAUUCCCCCCCCACACACACACACAAACAAUACAUACUAAUAAUUCAUAGGGAGUCCUAUACUACAAUCUUAAAUCAAUCCAGGUUGGGUUGACUUACAACCACCACAGUAAUUACCCUCCUUCUGUCAGUGGUGUGUGUCCUCCCCCGGAAUGCUUCCACUGACUGAAGAGGGUCAAUGUGGGGGGCUGAGAACCUGGGAUUCUAGCCUCUGGGAGUGGGGGAAUCCAGCCAGGACAUCUCACCUCUGGUGGGGAGAUCCGCGCCCAGGGUCCAGUUAGUUGCUGUGCGCCUAGUGGGAAACCAAGAGGCAGGGGAGGCAGCCAGGCUUCUAGCCAAGAGCCUUGGUGUAGCUAGGCUCUCUGUUGGGAGCAGGAAGCAGGGACCCCGGGGAGGGCGGUGGGGAGGGUAGCAGGGCUCCCUGCAGGGAGCAGGGAGCCCAGGCAGCAGACCAAGCUGGGAGCCUGGGUGACAACCCAGCUUGGAGUGGACAGCCAGCAACAGCCCGGCUGGGACAAGACAGCCAACAGCCGAUGUACGUAACGCAGUGCCUACAUUGACACUGAGUCGCCUUAACUACACUGAGGCAUGGUCUACACUACGAGUUUAUGUUAGAUUUAGCAGCGUUAAAUCCGAAUUAACCCUGCACCCGUCCACACAACGAAGCCAUUUUUUCGACAUAAAGGGCUCUUAAAACUGAUUUCUGUACUCUUCCCCAACGAGGAGAUUAGCGCUGAAAUCAACAUCGCCGUUUUGAAUUAGGGUUAGUGUGGACGCAAUUUGAAGGUAUUGGCCUCCAGAAGCUAUCCAACAGUGCACAUUGUGAUCGCUCUGGACAGCACUCUGAACUCAGAUGCACUGGCCAGGUGUACAGGAAAAGCCCCAGGAACUUUUGAAUCUCAUUUCCUGUUUGGCCAGGUGAGCUCAUCAGCACAGGUGACCAUGCAGAGCUCAUCAGCACAGGUGACCAUGCAGUCCCAGAAUCGAAAAAGAGCUCCAGCAUGGACCGAACGGGAGGUACUGGAUCUGAUCGCUGUAUGGGGAGAGGAAUCCAUGCUAUCAGAACUACGUUCCAAAAGAUGAAAUGCCAAAACAUUUCAAAAAAUCUCAGAGGCCAUGAGGGACAGAGGCUACAUCAGGGACGCAACACAGUGCCGCGUGAAACUUGAGGAGCUCAGACAAGCAUACCAGAAAACAAAGAAUCAAACGGACACUCCGGGACAGAGCCCCAGACAUGCCGCUUCUAUGCUGAGCUACAUGCAAUUCUAGGGGGGGCCGCCACCACUACCCAAUCGCUGUCUGUGGACUCCGAGGAUGGGAUACUCUCCACCAUGGCUGAGGAUUUUGCAGAUGGGGAAGAAUAGGAGGACGAGCUUGGGGAGAGCACACAGCACACUGUUCUCCCCAACAGCCAGGAUCUUUUUAUCACCCUGACUGAAAUACCCUCCCAAACCAAUGAAGCCAGAGAAGGGACCUCUGCAGCUACAAAUGUUUCAAGCCUCCCUCCUCUAUCCCAGAAGCUAUCUCAGAUAAGGUGGCGAAAAAUCGCACGCGCGAUGAAACAUUCUCUGAGCUCACGCAGUCGUCUGGCACUGACAGAGCUGUGU